AUUCUGCCCAAGCGGGGAAGGAUGAGAAGCUUCGACCAAGGUUCGACUCGAGCGCCAGCGAGAGAGCGUUGCCGCAGGCAACGACCCGAAGGGCGAAGC
rnacentral:sRNA from 1 species